UGAGGAAUAUUGGGCAAUGCCCGAAAGGGUGACCCAGCAACGCCGCGUGGAGGAUGAAGGUCGUAAGAUUGUAAACUCCUGUUAGAGGGGAAGAAUAACUAAGUUUGGAGCUUAGUAUGACUGUACCCUCAGAGAAAGCCCCGGCUAACUACGUGCCAGCAGCCGCGGUAAUACGUAGGGGGCAAGCGUUGUCCGGAUUUACUGGGUGAAAAGGGCGCGCAGGCGGAAUGGAAAGUCAGUGGUGAAAUCCUACAGCUUAACUGUAGAACUGCCUUUGAUACUUUCAUUCUUGAGUUCGGGAGAGAGAGACGGAAUUCCAGGUGUAGUGGUGAAAUACGUAGAUAUCUGGAAGAACACCAGUUGCGAAGGCGGUCUCUUGGUCCGAUACUGACGCUGAGGCGCGAAAGCGUGGGGAGCAAACA
rnacentral:rRNA from 1 species